rnacentral:rRNA from 1 species
UACAGAGGGGCAAGCGUUAUUCGGAAUUACUGGGCGUAAAGGGCGCGUAGGUGGCCUGCUAAGUCGAACGUGAAAUCCCCGGGCUCAACCCGGGAACUGCGAUCGGAGACUGCAAGGCUAGAAUCUGGCAGAGGGGGUAGAAUUCCACGUGUAGCAGUGAAAUGCGUAGAGAUGUGGAGGAACACCGAUGGCGAAGGCAGCCCCCUGGGUCAAGAUUGACGCUCAUGCACGAAAGCGUGGGGAGCAAACAGG